UCAAUCUGGUGGAAUAUAUUUGUUACUGAAGGAUUUUAAGAUAAUGUACCCAGACUACGGAGACAAGUUUAAUGAAAAUUGGCCCUUAAUUAAAUCAAAACUUAUAAGCAUUGCAAAAAAGAAAGGAUUAAUAAAUGAGAUUGAUGAGUCCAAUGAAGAACAAACUGAUUUAGCCGCUCUAACAUCGCUACCUUUUUUGAUGAGCACAUCAAAUGUUACUUCUACAAAGAAAGCAACUAAAAAGACACAAUGGAGACCAUCAAAGCAAGAGGUAUUGGAAGGCUUCAUAACUCAAGUCGCAAGUCCAGCUGAGGUAGCAGUAGAGAUAACAAGAAAAAGAGACAAGCUUAUGGAAAUGGGCCUUCAAAUGCAACCUUUUGUAAUUGCAGUUGUGUCACCGAAUAAAUCAAUUACAGCAAGGUACAUAGUGAUUAAUAACAUAACAUAUGAAAUGCCAACUAUUACAAAAGCUGUAGAAGCUUGUUUAAAGGCGAUUUUUGUAUUGAAUGCUGAAUAUCCUAAAGAGUCCCGUCAUGUCUGGCAGUUUGUACAAACUGUACUUUUUGAGUUAAAAACGAAAUAUGAUAAAAGCUUUACUGCAGUAAAUACACUUAUAUCGGAUCUCGGCAUUAAAACAUAAAGAACAAGCAUUGAUCACAUAAAUCGCAUAUAAGCAUACAAACUAAAAUGCCCAAGUGUUUCCUAUGUUUGAAAGACCUGACAAGUGUACCAAACCUAAUGACACAUUUUUCUUUGAAUCAUGAAAGACAAAAUUUUAGUGUUUAUCAUUGCAUUGAAGAUGAUUGUAAUCGUUCUUUCCAUUUAAGGAAUACCUAUCGAAAACAUCUAUACCAUAGUCAUGCUACUGCUAGGGGUAGGAUAUUAAAUUCCGAUUCUGAUAAUACACAUUCUGAAAAUACUAGUAAUAUAUCAGUUCUUCAACCCUCGUAUUCACAUUCUAAUAUCUCCUUGAAUUUUGUUGAACCCCCAUUAGAAACUAACAAGUAUGCUUUAGUUCAUUUUAUUUCAUCCCUGUAUGCAAAUCCUCUGCUUCCGAGAAAUGUCAUUCAAGAUGUAGUCGAUGGCAUACACAGGUAUAUGUGUAGUAGUUUAACAUCAAACAUAGAAAGUGUAUUUUCAGAAAUAACGACAACUGCUGAACAAGGAAAUUAUAUUAGACCUUUUAAAGAAAAGCUUUUGUCUAUUGUAAAAGAUGAGUGUAAGGAGUUUGACACUGAAUUCAAAAGACUUGGGUUCUUAGAAAAGCAGGGGACUUAUAUACCACCAAAAAAAGUUGUAAUAGGUAAUAGAAUGUGUAAUAUCAAAGAACGAGGGGUAGUCAAAUAUAAAUCAGUAGAAUGUACAGAGCAGCUAAUACCUCUUCGAUUCGUGUUGCAAAAUUUUUUUUCACUCAAAGGUGUGAUCAAAGAAACAUUCGAUUAUGUUAACGGUUUGAACUCUAACUGUUUGCAAAACUUUGUCCAAGGUAACUAUUGGAGAAGUGUCAUUGAACAAUAUGAUGGUAAAUUGGUAUUUCCUUUAUUCAUGUAUUUUGAUGAUUAUGAGACAGGAAAUGUACUUGGAACUCAUUCUGGAAUACACAAAUUAGGAGCUGUGUAUGUUUCAGUUGCUUGCAUGCCUCCGGACCGAACAUCUUCCCUAGAUAACAUAUUUCUGGCUUUAUUAUUUCACUCCACAGAUAGAAUAGUUUUUGGAAACAAUGUGAUAUUUGAACCUUUGAUACAAGAAUUAAAUUUUUUAUCAGAAACUGGUGUGAACAUAGAUGUGCCUGAAUAUAAAGGCAAAUUGUAUUUCAGACUAGGGCUAAUUCUUGGAGACAACCUUGGGAUACACUCAAUUGCCGGAUUUAAUGAAACAUUUUCUUCAAACUUUCCAUGCCGUAUUUGCAAUGUGUCAAAAGAAAACUUGAAAGAUCAGUUAUUUGAAAACGUAAAUUUGCUUCGUAAUUCUGAAAAUUACAACGCCCAAUUACUACUUAACUCCUCAUCUCACACUGGUAUCAAAGAAAAAUGUGUAUGGCUCUCAGUUACUAACUUUAGUUUAUUUGACCAACUAGGUGUUGACAUAAUGCACGAUAUUUUAGAGGGCGUAGCCAAGUACAUCAUGUCAUUUAUUAUUGUAAAAUAUACUAGCGAAUUAAAAUAUUUCACAUUCAAAACUUUGAAUGACAGAAUGGAACAUUUUGACUUUGGUCCAGACAGCUCAAGUAGACCUUGUCAAAUAAUAACAAAUAAUGUUAUUCGACUAUCAGCUUCUGAAAUGUUGUCAUUUGUGAGAUACUUUAAUUUGCUUGUGGGCGAUUACGUCCCAACUGAUGACCGUUACUGGACCCUUUACUUAACUUUGCGAAACAUAAUUAACUUAUUAAUGAGUACUAUAUUUAAUAAAGAAAAAUGUAAUUUAUUACAAUUUUUAAUAAGUGAACUCAACGAGCUUUAUAUAAAAUUAAGUAAUGAAACCCUCAAACCUAAAUUUCACUUUUUGGUCCAUUACCCUUCAAUGAUUUUAAAAUUUGGCCCACUUGUAAACUUUUGGAGUAUGCGAUACGAGGCCAAGCAUCGCGUUUCAAAAAUUUCUGCUCGAGCUAACUUUAAUCGACGCAAUAUUACUCUUAGCUUAGCUAAAAAGCACCAGUUGCAGUUGAACAAAAUAUUUGUUGAAGGCUCAUUGAAAUCUCCUAUUUCUGUUGGUGUUACAAAGAGAAUCUCAAAACUUGACCGGAGUACUGUUAUAUCUUACUUAAAUUUAGACCCGAGUCUAUCUCUUGUAUCUGUUACAUGGGCAAAAGUAAAGAGUAUUCUUUAUAAACCUGGGACGAUUCUUCUUCAUAAUGUAACUGGGAAUUAUGAUGAUAUCGGAAAUGUUACAUUUAUGAAUGUCAAUAAUCUUUAUAUAUACAACGAAGACAAAAUUAUUUUUGAAACUACAUUACUAUCGACGAUUGAUUUUAAUUUUCAUUUAGAUUGUUUUGAAGUCAAGUAUUCUGAUGUGAAGAAAAGGAUAUAUAUGUUUCAUGAUAAUUUAUUAUCAUAUGUACCUUGUCAUAUCAAUGUUACUCAUGAUGGUAAAUUGUACGUUACACAGAGAGCCCAAUCAUAGCAUCUCCAAUUAUGUAUGCCUACUACUUAAUGGGGCUACUUUUCAAUCAAUGUAAAUCACACUGUAAUCUUAAACUAAAAAAAAAACAAAAGCUGCCCCCGAUAGGAACCUAUAAUGUAACCUAUGUUAUAUUGUACUAAUAUGACUGGCCUGUUGAUCUAGUGACCCUGACUGCUAUGCCAGAGGUCGUGGGUUCGAUUCCCACCCAGGACAAAUGUUUGUGUGAUGAGCACGAUCAUUUGUUCUGUGUCUGGUUGUAAUUUAUCUAUAAUAUGUAUGUAUUUAGAAAUAUAUAAGUAAGUUUAUCAGUUGUCUAGUUCCCAUAACAAUAGCUCUGCUUAGCUUGUGGCUAGAUGGCGUUGUGUGAUAGUUGUGGAAUAUUUAUUUAUUUAUUUUAUUUAAUAGUAGUUAAUUGAAUAGAAAAUUAGCUAUAUAUCUUAGUUAAUUGAGGAGCUGUUUAAAAAAAAAAGUGUCUGGGGGCGACAUUUUUUCAAAAUAAUAUAUCUAUUGAUUUUAAA